CUUAUUUUUGAGCUUCAUUUUUAAAGGUUAAAUAUUUAUUUUCUGAAAAAAUUCGUAGUACCCAAAUCCUAAAACUUUCACACCCCACGCCUCGGUCGAUACUAAUCCGGACGGCAAACUUUUUCUCCCAUAAACAACAACUAUUACUUCUGCUAAAUAAAUUAUUUUUUGAAGCAAUCUCCCGAAACGUGUGUCCCAAGAUGUGGAGACCCUACGCAAGGAACCCAGGACGUUUGCAUAUCUACUGGUUUUAAUCAGGGGACUGUAAAGAUUGAACAUUUCCAUUGCUUGAGAAUCUGUGGACUAAAAAAUGUCAAAUAUAUAAAUCGUGGAAUUUGUACGCAUAAUCAUAAACUUCAUCCUAGACCGGGAACAGAACCACCACAAAC